AUUGAACGCUGGCGGCAUGCCUUACACAUGCAAGUCGAACGGCAGCACGGGUGCUUGCACCUGGUGGCGAGUGGCGAACGGGUGAGUAAUACAUCGGAACGUACCUUAUCGUGGGGGAUAACGCAGCGAAAGUUGCGCUAAUACCGCAUACGCCCUGAGGGGGAAAGCGGGAGACCGUAAGGCCUCGCGCGAUUAGAGCGGCCGAUGUCUGAUUAGCUUGUUGGUGAGGUAAAAGCUCACCAAGGCGAUGAUCAGUAGCUGGUCUGAGAGGACGAUCAGCCACACUGGGACUGAGACACGGCCCAGACUCCUACGGGAGGCAGCAGUGGGGAAUUUUGGACAGUGGGGGCAACCCUGAUCCAGCAAUGCCGCGUGAGUGAAGAAGGCCUUCGGGUUGUAAAGCUCUUUUGUCAGGGAAGAAACAGCAGCUCUAACACAGUCUGCGAAUGACGGUACCUGAAGAAUAAGCACCGGCUAACUACGUGCCAGCCGCCGCGGUAA
rnacentral:rRNA from 1 species